AGUCGAACGAGAAUCUAUGGAAAGAGGCUUCGGCCAAUUGAAGUAGAGGACAGUGGCGGACGGGUGAGUAACGCGUGAGCAACCUGCCUCGGAGUGGGGGACAACAGGGGGAAACCUCUGCUAAUACCGCAUAAUGUCAUUGGGUGGCAUCACUUAAUGACCAAAGAUUUAUUGCUCUGAGAUGGGCUCGCGUCUGAUUAGGUAGUUGGUGAGGUAACGGCUCACCAAGCCUACGAUCAGUAGCCGGGUUGAGAGACUGAACGGCCACAUUGGGACUGAGAUACGGUCCAUACUCCUACGGGAGGCAGCAGUAGGGAAUCUUCCACAAUGGGCGCAAGCCUGAUGGAGCAACACCGCGUGAGUGAAGAAGGGUUUCGGCUCGUAAAGCUCUGUUGUUGGAGAAGAACGUGCGUGAGAGUAACUGUUCAUGCAGUGACGGUAUCCAACCAGAAAGUCACGGCUAACUACGUGCCAGCAGCCGCGGUAAUACGUAGGUGGCAAGCGUUAUCCGGAUUUAUUGGGCGUAAAGCGAGCGCAGGCGGUUGCUUAGGUCUGAUGUGAAAGCCUUCGGCUUAACCGAAGAAGUGCAUCGGAAACCGGGCGACUUGAGUGCAGAAGAGGACAGUGGAACUCCAUGUGUAGCGGUGGAAUGCGUAGAUAUAUGGAAGAACACCAGUGGCGAAGGCGGCUGUCUGGUCUGCAACUGA
rnacentral:rRNA from 1 species